rnacentral:misc_RNA from 1 species
UAUAGAGAAUACCGUUUCCACGAGAACGGUCAAAUCCAAAGCGACUGUCUGAACAUCUCUUUUUGAAAAUGGGUAUAAUUCUGCUGGGUCAGUAGUUCAGUUGGUUAGAAUGCCGCUCUGAUACAGCGGAGGUCGAAGAUUCGAGUUCUUCCUGACCCACCACUUAAAUUGAUGAGGUUGGAAUCAAAAACAAAUACUUGUUUUUGAUUCCAGAUGUUCUGAUGAAUAUCUUCGGAAUCUGCUUUUAUUAGCAAUCAUUGUAAAUCGGUUUUUAAUGUCGUAAAUCAAACUUUAUGGAAACAUGACUUUUGAUUUAUUGAACAUCGUAAUCUCAAAAAUCUUUCUAAAUAGAGUAAUCACGAAAGUGAUAAUUCAAUUAGAGAAGCAAGAAUCAACUUAAAUGCUUAAAAAACUCAUUAAGUUCUUUUGAUUGUGUUUGAAGACUUUCUCUUCAAGCAUAAGAUAAAAAGUAACAAAGGGUGUUUAGUGGAUGCCUUGGCAAUCAGAGGCGAUGAAGGACGUGAAAGACUGCGAUAAGUCCGGGUGAGGCGUCAAUAUCCUUUGACCCCGGAAUUUC